CGGUUCCCGUUUGAGCGCCUCAAUGGCAGGUGGUGCGGAGUUUACGCAAAGGCGCCGCAGAGAUCCGUGUCUCACCGUGGCUUCUUUUUUCCAUUUGCGUCGGUGGAGUCGGUUUUAUAAGUCCCUUCUCUGCCAGCAGAUUUCGGUGGGGGGUCGGAAGGGUUGCAGAUCCCUGAACAGUCAAACUCUGAUCUUGAAAAGACUACCAUUUCUUAGAUCUACGAUGAAAACCGGAAUCCGGACUGAGGCGUCGCUGGUGCCCAUUUUUGUUUCUGGUUUCAUUUUCCUUUUUUUGAUUUGUUGGCGGUCUGGAAAGGUUGCGCUCUAAAAGAAUGAGUACAGACUCCAGGUUUAUCCCCGCAAAUCAGAUCUGGAAGAUGAGACAGAUCGCUGUGCCAAUACAUUUUAUUUUAAACACUAAAAGGACCUCAGCCUGGCCAAAAGAGUAGAUGCAGUUCACCAAGCUUUAUAUGGUUGAAAGAAAAAAAAAAAACGGAAUCCCUUUCUAGUGGCCUUGACUUGACAAGCGUAAAUAAUGAUCGAAACUAAAAA